rnacentral:rRNA from 1 species
GACGAACGCUGGCGGCGUGCCUAAUACAUGCAAGUCGAGCGGAUGGAAGGAAGCUUGCUUCCUAAAGUCAGCGGCGGACGGGUGAGUAACACGUGGGCAACCUGCCCCUAAGAUCGGGAUAACUUCGGGAAACCGGAGCUAAUACCGAAUGUGAUUAUGUCUCACAUGAGACAUAAUGGAAAGAUGGUUUCGGCUGUCACUUAGGGAUGGGCCCGCGGCGCAUUAGCUAGUUGGUGAGGUAACGGCUCACCAAGGCGACGAUGCGUAGCCGACCUGAGAGGGUGAUCGGCCACAUUGGGACUGAGACACGGCCCAGACUCCUACGGGAGGCAGCAGUAGGGAAUCUUCCGCAAUGGACGAAAGUCUGACGGAGCAACGCCGCGUGAGUGAAGAAGGUUUUCGGAUCGUAAAACUCUGUUGUUAGGGAAGAACAAGUACCAUAGUAACUGAUGGUACCUUGACGGUACCUAACCAGAAAGCCACGGCUAACUACGUGCCAGCCGCCGCCGUAACAC